ACGCACGCUGGCGGCGUGCUUAACACAUGCAAGUCGCACGGAAAGGCCCUGCUUUUGUGGGGUGCUCGAGUGGCGAACGGGUGAGUAACACGUGAGUAACCUGCCCUUGACUUUGGGAUAACUUCAGGAAACUGGGGCUAAUACCGGAUAGGAGCUCCUGCUGCAUGGUGGGGGUUGGAAAGUUUCGGCGGUUGGGGAUGAACUCGCGGCUUAUCAGCUUGUUGGUGGGGUAGUGGCUUACCAAGGCUUUGACGGGUAGCCGGCCUGAGAGGGUGACCGGCCACAUUGGGACUGAGAUACGGCCCAGACUCCUACGGGAGGCAGCAGUGGGGAAUAUUGCACAAUGGGCGGAAGCCUGAUGCAGCAACGCCGCGUGCGGGAUGACGGCCUUCGGGUUGUAAACCGCUUUCGCCUGUGACGAAGCGUGAGUGACGGUAAUGGGUAAAGAAGCACCGGCUAACUACGUG
rnacentral:rRNA from 1 species